rnacentral:rRNA from 1 species
UACGGGGGGAGCAAGCGUUGUUCGGAUUUACUGGGCGUAAAGGGCUCGUAGGCGGUUCGUCACGUCGGGAGUGAAAACUCGGGGCUUAACCCCGAGCCUGCUUCCGAUACGGGCAGACUAGAGGUAGGCAGGGGAGAGCGGAACUCCUGGUGUAGCGGUGAAAUGCGUAGAUAUCAGGAGGAACACCGGUGGCGAAGGCGCCUAUCUGGCCCGAUACUGACGCUGAGGCGCGAAAGCUAGGGGAGCAAACGGG